UAUUUUACGCCACGUAUCUGAAGUAGGCUUGUGAAGCCUUGGUGUUAUAGGUUAACUAGUAACGAUGAUCACAGACGUUCAGUUAGCUGUGUUCGCCAACGUUCUGGGUGUGACACUGUUUCUGCUGGUUGUUCUGUAUCAUUACAUUUCUGCAAACCAUUCGAAAUCCUGACUACUGCGAUCAGGUGAUGAUUACGACAGCG